rnacentral:rRNA from 1 species
GAUGAACGCUGGCGGCGUGCCUAAUACAUGCAAGUCGAGCGAACAGACGAGGAGCUUGCUCCUCUGACGUUAGCGGCGGACGGGUGAGUAACACGUGGAUAACCUACCUAUAAGACUGGGAUAACUUCUGGAAACCGGAGCUAAUACCGGAUAAUAUAUUGAACCGCAUGGUUCAAUAGUGAAAGACGGUUUUGCUGUCACUUAUAGAUGGAUCCGCGCCGCAUUAGCUAGUUGGUAAGGUAACGGCUUACCAAGGCAACGAUGCGUAGCCGACCUGAGAGGGUGAUCGGCAACACUGGAACUGAGACACGGUCCAGACUCCUACGGGAGGCAGCAGUAGGGAAUCUUCCGCAAUGGGCGAAAGCCUGACGGAGCAACGCCGCGUGAGUGAUGAAGGUCUUCGGAUCGUAAAACUCUGUUAUUAGGGAAGAACAAAUGUGUAAGUAACUAUGCACGUCUUGACGGUACCUAAUCAGAAAGCCACGGCUAACUACGUG